rnacentral:rRNA from 1 species
UACGAAGGGGGCUAGCGUUGUUCGGAAUACUGGGCGUAAGCGUGCGCAGGCGGUUAUGCAAGACAGAUGUGAAAUCCCCGGGCUCAACCCUGGGAACUGCAUUUGUGACUGCAUGGCUAGAGUACGGUAGAGGGGAUGGAAUUCCGCGUGUAGCAGUGAAAUGCGUAGAUAUGCGGAGGAACACCGAUGGCGAAGGCAAUCCCCCUGGACCUGUACUGACGCUCAUGCACGAAAGCGUGGGGAGCAAACAGG